rnacentral:rRNA from 1 species
AGAGUUUGAUCCUGGCUCAGAUUGAACGCUGGCGGCGUGCCUAACACAUGCAAGUCGAGCGGCAGCGCGGGAGCAAUCCUGGCGGCGAGCGGCGGACGGGUGAGUAACGCUUGGGAAUCUGCCUGUUAGUGGGGGACAACCCGGGGAAACUCGGGCUAAUACCGCAUACGCACUACGGUGGAAAGCCGGGGACCGCAGGGCCUGGCGCUAACAGAUGAGCCCAAGUCGGAUUAGCUAGUUGUAGGGUAACGGCCUACCAAGGCGACGAUCCGUAACUGGUCUGAGAGGACGACCAGUCACACCGGAACUGAGACACGGUCCGGACUCCUACGGGAGGCAGCAGUGGGGAAUAUUGGACAAUGGGGGCAACCCUGAUCCAGCGACGCCGCGUGGGUGAAGAAGGCCUGCGGGUUGUAAAGCCCUUUCGGUGGGGAAGAAAAGUUCUGACCUAACACGUCGGGACCUUGACGUAACCCACUAAAGAAGCACCGGCUAACUCUGUG